rnacentral:misc_RNA from 1 species
GAUGAAGAACGUAGCGAAAUGCGAUAAGUAAUGUGAAUUGCAGAAUUCAGUGAAUCAUCGAAUCUUUGAACGCACAUUGCGCCCGCUAGUAUUCUGGCGGGCAUGCCUGUUCGAGCGUCAUUUCAACCAUCAAGCCCUUUAGCUUGUGUUGGGGACCUGCGGCUGCCGCAGCCCCCGAAAUGCAGUGGCGGGCUCGUUGUCACACCGAGUGCAGUAAUCAUUCUUCUCUCCGGGCGUGGCGGCGGGUUCCGGCCGUAAAAUCACCAAUUUAUCAAGGUUGACCUCGGAUCAGGUAGGAAUACCCGCUGAACUUAAGCAUAUCAAUAAGCGGAGG